GAGGAGAUGACCAGAUGUUCUGCUAAGCAUGGCAGCCAUCUGGACAAGGGUUUCACAAGUAAGACCUGGUUUGAUCUCCACAAUAACCCUGAGAAGUGGAAUCUGAUACCUCCCUCUAACAGAUAAGAAUAUGUGAUGCACACGAUCCUUACUGUCUGUUUGAUGCCGUGUCAUUGCUGUUCACUGCACACAGACCAGGAGCUGUUCCGGUUGCUGGGGAGACAGCAGAGAACACGGCCACCACGACCUGGUCACGGUGGUAUGGUGCAGGCUGCUCCCAGGAUGGAAAGAGAUAGUAGGCUUGAAUUUGUUUGAGAAACCAUAAAGUGCUGCCAGCCUCCAGGGACGUCCUGGCAGGAAUAAAGGCCCAGCACACUGUUAAAGUUAGAUAACCCUGUGGAUUAGAAAACCUCAGAGACCCAUCACUCAUCACUGCCCCACCACAGCACUUCGGCCAGGCUGAUGACGAUCUUGGCCUGCAAGGUUCUACGGAUCAGACAGGCACUAUUACUGGUUGCCCAGUUUUCACAGGUUAUGAGGGGAAGCCCUCUUGGCCAUAUUCCAGCUCCCCCACCAUGUCUGCCUGGGGCUGGGGGGACACUCAGCAGAGAAAGGCCUGGCGCUCAUCCUGGUGUGGCUCUGCGACCUGCUCCCAACUACUCUGUCCUGAAUUCCUCUUCCCUGGACUUGCGCUCAAAGGUCUGAGAAGUACAAGCACAUGGAGAAAGCCAGAGGGGCUUCACGAAUGGACUUUACGAAUUGUGAUGACUUGUCAUCUGCUGUUCCCUCAAAUGCCUCUGUCAUGAAUUGUUUAUUGUAUUGUAUUCUGUUUGUUUGUUUGUUAACAUACUGUACUCCAACCCAGAGCAAGGGGGUGCCUUUCUUACAAGUUUUGAGACAUAGAAAUAGAAAUCAGAAAGAAGGAAAGGAACACGCAUCAAAGAUGAGAAUCAGAAAGAAUAGCUUUUCUUUGUCGUUUUAAAGCAAGGACCAGAGUAUGAGCUUGCUGUUGCAAAAUCAAUGCAUGUUUACUUAGAGCAUUUGUAAAAUGCACAAAACAUCAAUCAUAAAAGCAAUCUGUAGGCCUAAAUUACAUUGUCAUGGCUUUAGAGUAUAUAAUUGCAUAUUUGUUAUUUUUAAGCCUACUUUUUUCCACCUAACAAUAAUAUGCCAUUAUUUU
ensembl:lncRNA